UGUUCGGUGGCCUAAAUGGUUAGAGCGUCCGCCUCGGAUGCGGGAGGUCGCGGGUUCGAACCCCAGCCGAAUCA